GACGAACGCUGGCGGCGUGCCUAAUACAUGCAAGUCGAGCGAAUCAUUAGGAGCUUGCUCCUUUUGGUUAGCGGCGGACGGGUGAGUAACACGUGGGCAACCUGCCUAUAAGACUGGGAUAACUUCGGGAAACCGGAGCUAAUACCGGAAAAUCCUUUUUCACACCAGUGGGAAAGCUGAAAGACGGUGCAAGCUGUCCUCUAUAGAUGGUCCCGCGGCGCAUUAGCUAGUUGGUGAGGUAAUGGCUCACCAAGGCGACGAUGCGUAGCCGACCCGAGAGGGUGAUCGGCCACACUGGGACUGAGACACGGCCCAGACUCCUACGGGAGGCAGCAGUAGGGAAUCUUCCGCAAUGGACGAAAGCCUGACGGAGCAACGCCGCGUGAACGAUGAAGGCCUUCGGGUCGUAAAGUUCUGUUGUUAGGGAAGAACAAGUACCGGAGUAACUGCCGGUACCUUGACGGUACCUAACCAGAAAGCCACGGCUAACUACGUGCCAGCAGCCGCCGUAAGAC
rnacentral:rRNA from 1 species